rnacentral:tRNA from 1 species
AGUCUUAUAUUCAAUUAUGAUUUUUGAUUGCAAAUCUUAUGGUGCUUAAAUGCUAAGGCUU